AACAAGACAGGACUAGAAUGACUUCAGGAACCCACCAAAUCACUGCUGCCCUCUGCUAAUGGAAGGGACAGAGUGACAAAUAAAUCACCGUUGCUGUCUCUGGCCUAAUGGAUGAGAUGUGUGAGAUGAACAGACCUCCAGCUAGAAGAAUGUGACAGCUCUUGUGAUUGGGGACUCAGGCCAACAAUGAAGUCACUGCACAUUCACAUAACCACCUCUCCCUUCCAUGCCACCUCUAACAAGAGUCAGGGGUGGGUUACUUUCUAGUUCAUGUCUCUGGAAUAGUGUUCUGGAAUCUCAAGAAAGCUCUGCUUUCCAGGCCUGGGAUGCAGAGCCAAGGAGGUGACAAGCAGCAAUGAAUCACAUGCAAAGCCCA